CCUACGGGUGGCUGCAGUGGGGAAUAUUGGACAAUGGGCGAAAGCCUGAUCCAGCCAUGCCGCGUGUGUGAAGAAGGCCUUCGGGUUGUAAAGCACUUUCAGUGGGGAAGAAAGCCUUGGGGCUAAUACCCUCGAGGAAGGACAUCACCCACAGAAGAAGCACCGGCUAACUCCGUGCCAGCAGCCGCGGUAAUACGGAGGGUGCGAGCGUUAAUCGGAAUUACUGGGCGUAAAGCGCGCGUAGGCGGUCUGAUAAGCCGGUUGCGAAAGCCCCGGGCUCAACCUGGGAACGGCAUCCGGAACUGUCAGGCUAGAGUGCAGGAGAGGAAGGUAGAAUUCCCGGUGUAGCGGUGAAAUGCGUAGAGAUCGGGAGGAAUACCAGUGGCGAAGGCGGCCUUCUGGACUGACACUGACGCUGAGGUGCGAAAGCGUGGGUAGCAAACAGGAUUAGAUACCCGUGUAGUC
rnacentral:rRNA from 1 species